GAUGAACGCUGGCGGCGUGCCUAAUACAUGCAAGUCGAGCGAACAGACGAGGAGCUUGCUCCUCUGACGUUAGCGGCGGACGGGUGAGUAACACGUGGAUAACCUACCUAUAAGACUGGGAUAACUUCGGGAAACCGGAGCUAAUACCGGAUAAUAUAUUGAACCGCAUGGUUCAAUAGUGAAGGACGGUUUUGCUGUCACUUAUAGAUGGAUCCGCGCCGCAUUAGCUAGUUGGUAAGGUAACGGCUUACCAAGGCGACGAUGCGUAGCCGACCUGAGAGGGUGAUCGGCCACACUGGAACUGAGACACGGUCCAGACUCCUACGGGAGGCAGCAGUAGGGAAUCUUCCGCAAUGGGCGAAAGCCUGACGGAGCAACGCCGCGUGAGUGAUGAAGGUCUUCGGAUCGUAAAACUCUGUUAUUAGGGAAGAACAAAUGUGUAGGUAACUAUGCACGUCUUGACGGUACCUAAUCAGAAAGCCACGGCUAACUACGUG
rnacentral:rRNA from 1 species